CGGAAAAGAACACUGUGUGCUUAGACUAGAAGAAACAAACCAGACAUUCUAAUAAAUUCAUGGGAUGCCUUGGCAGAGUGGAUCUGCAGGAGCCCCAAAGGCAAAGAGAAUCUUCUCAGUCAAGUCACUUACAAGGGAAUUUAGAUAAUUAAGCUGAGACUAGGAGUGGAGGGAGGAAGAUUUCACAGCCUUAUGGUCUCAGGGUUGUCAGAAUCUCAGUGUCCUGAUAUCUUACUGGGAUCCCACCAUCACACAGCUUCACAGACCUCUGUGCUUCAAGGAAAUGGGCAUAAUUCCCAACUGGCUGAAGAACCAGAGAAGAAAAAACCAGAAACAAGCAAACAAAACACCUACAGCUGGAAGACAGAAGCAGGGGUGGUAACUGAUUUGGUGAAUCUGAGAACACUGAAUCCUAAGUUGACCAUGGGGAAAACCUAACACCUAGGGGAACUGAUGGUUCCAGGUCUCUCUGGAAGGGCAGGCUAAAGGGAAGAGUUGCAAUAAAGCAGUGAGGUUGAAAGUUGUUUAACGAGUGGUUAGAGCUCCAUAUCUCCUUUGUCCUUCACCCACCCCAAUAGAGUAUUGAAAAAUUAUUCUCUGAAGAGGAUAAAACAGAGGACAUCUAUUUCAUCUGAAGUGUAGCAAACUGAAGACAGACUAUUACAUGACCAUUAGUAGGGUAGAUACUGAAACACAGUGUUCUUCCACUGGAAAGCAAAGCACUGGGGACUAUGCCUCUACCUUCAGAAUCUUCUCUGGGAAAUCAGUAGAAAAAAAUAAACUGGGCUUUGUCAGUAAAAUGUCUUGGCUAGAACUGGUCCUACUGUAACAUAUAAGCUCCACUGAUAUACCCAGAACUCCCAAUCACAUUUUAAAUCCUAUUGCAGAUAUGAGCAGAUGACCAAGCACCACCUGAUAUUUUAGAAAAGCCUUUGACAUGAAAACUGGAGACUAAGACAAACAAAAAUUUUACAAAAUACUACUUAAAAAGGAAUAUGCAAACCAGAUAAGUGAAGAUAUUGUACCCUGAAACUGUGCAAGUACAACAAAAAUGGGAACAAAACUUUAAAAAUAAGAAAUCACAGAAAUUUUUAAUAUGUAUAUGAGAAGCACAAAACCCCACAGAAGUUCAGAAAACAAAGGUAGGUAUGCCGUAUUCAAGGGGCAUCCUAAGUUUCUAGUAUGGUAGACAAAUAUUGACUCUCACAGUGUACAUCUUAGUUAAAAAGUUUAUCCUAAACUUUCAGAUAAGGGGAAAUCACAUGAAUAGGAUCAGAAUUAGUAUAAAUUCAUGCUUCUCACUGGUAAGAUAUAGAAGUGGAGAAAUGCUUGUAAAACACAGAAGAAAAAGAAACUCUAGUCCAAGCCAGGGUACCGAGAAAACUGUGUGUGUAAAACAAAACACUUUUAGACUGUACCAUCUCCCCACCUUUUCAUAGCAGCCACUGGAGGAUAGGCUCCACAUAUGAGAGACUAAAGCAAGUAAGAGAAAGAUGAAGGAUGCAGAAAAUAGGAGCCUCAACCUAGGAAGCACCUGUGGGAUCUCCUGAGGGAAGAUUUGUCAAGGGAGAGCCCAGAAUGACAGCUGUGCUCAGACACCAAGGACAUCUAGUCCAGAAGAAGGUAGACCAAAAGGCUCUAGAAGGAUUUUCCUAGAAAAUCUUCAAGGAAGAUUUCUCAUUAUAUAUAUAAAAUCUCAUCAUAUAUACAUAAUCUCAUUAUAUAAUCUCAUCAUAUAUACAUAAUCUCAUCAUAUAUAUCAUAUAUGAUCUCAUCACAUAUAUGUGUCCCUGUGUCCAUGUGUUCUCACUGUUCAACACCUGCCUAUGAGUGAGAACAUGCGGUGUUUGAUUUUCUGUUCUUGUGUCAGUUCGUUGAGAAUGAUGGUUUCCAGAUUCAUCCAUGUCCCUACAAAAAACACGAACUCAUCAUUUUUUAUGGCUGCAUAAUAUUCCAUGGUGUAGACGUGCCACAUUUUCCUUGUCCAGUCUAUGGUCGAUGGGCAUAUGCGUUGGUUCCAGGUCUUUGCUAUUGCAAACAAUGCCGCUAUGAAUGUACAUGUGCAUGUGUCUUUAUAAUAUAAUAAUUUAUAAUCCUUUGGGUAUAUACCCAGUAAUGGGAUUGCUGGGUCAAAUGGAAUUUCUAUUUCCAGGUCUUUGAGGAAGCGCCAUACUGUCUUUCAUAAUGGUUGGACUAGUUUACACUCCCAUCAACAGUGUCAAAGUGUUCCUAUUUCUCUAUAUCCUCUCCAGCAUUUGUUGUCUCCAGAUUUUUUAAUGAUCGCCAUUCUAACUGGCGUGAGAUGGUAUCUAAAUGUGCUUUUGAUUUGCAUUUCUCUAAUAAUCAGUGAUGAUGAGCAUUUUUUCAUGUGUUUGCUGGCCUCAUAUAUGUCUUCUUUUGAAAAGUAUCUGUUCAUAUCCUUCACCUACUUUUGGAUGGGUUUGUUUGUUUUUUUCUUAUAAAUCUGUUUUAGCUAUUUGUAGAUUCUGGAUAUUAGCCCUUUGUCAGAUGGGUGGAUUGCAAAAAUUUUUUCCCAUUCUGUUGGCUGCUGGUUCACUCUAAUGAUUGUUUCUCUGGCUGUACAGAAGCGCUGGAGUUUAAUUACGUCCCAUUUGUCUAUUUUGGCUUUUGUUGCCAAUGCUUUUGGUGUUUUAGUCAUGAAGUCCUUGCCUAUGCCUAUGCCUAUGCCAUGCAUGGUUUUGCCUAGGUUUUCUUCUAGGGUUUUUAUAGUGUUAGGUCUUAUGUUUAAGUCUUUAAUCCAUCUGGAGUUAAUUUUAGUGUAAGGUGUCAGGAAGGGGUCCAGAAGAUGUUCUGCUUUCUGCAUACUGCUAGCCAGUUUUUCCAACACCAUUUAUUAAACAGGGAAUCCUUUCCCCAUUGAUUGUUUUUGUCAGGUUUGUCAAAGAUCAGAUGGUUGUAGAUGUGUGGCAUUGCCUCUAGGGCCUCUGUUCUGUUCCAUUGGUCUAUAUCUCUGUUUUGGUACAUAUAGUUACUUUUAUAGGCAUGUGGGUCAUAUGGUCUCCAUUGCAAUUACUCAGCUGCACCAUUAUAUAGCAUGAAAGCAGCCACAGACAACACAUAAAUGAAUGGAUACAGCUGUAUUCCAGCCUCCAAGUGAGCUGGUCCCCACUCUCAAGCAGUAUGUAGAAGGAAAUUUAUAACACUAAACACCUGUAUUUGAAAAUAUGUGUCUCAAAUCCAUAACCUUAGCUUUAUCCUAUGGAUUCAGAAAGAGAAGAUUAAAUUAAACUAAAAGUAAGCAGAAGAAAAAAAUAUACACAGACCAGAAAAAUAGGGAACAUCAAUGAAAGCAAAAGCUGGUUCUUAAACAAGAUCAAUAAUAUUGAUAAACAUCUGGCCAAGAUGAUGAGGAAAAUGAGAGAAGAAACAAAUUACUAAUAUCAAGAAUAAGAGUUGUUAUAUUACAACAGAGCAUACAGACAUUAACACUAUUAUUAGAGAAGAUCAUGGAAAACUCUAUGUAAACCGACAACUUAGAUAAAACACAAUGUUUUGGAAAGAAACUUUCUCUAAAACUUCACUCAAGAAAGUGUAGGCAAUCUGAUUAGCCCUAUAUCUAUAAAAAUAAUCAAAUAUGUAGUUAAAAACCUUCCCACAAAGAACAAAACCAACAUAAACAAGUAACUCAGAUUAUCUGGUGAAAUCUUUGGUGAAUUCUACCAAAUAGUUAAGGUCAUAAUACCAAUUCUGUAUGAAGCUUUGCAUUAAACUGAAGAGAAUAUUUCCCAAUUAAUUCUACAUGACGGCUCUGAUAUCUAAACUAGACAAAACCAGUACAAGAAAAGGCAACUAGAGAGAUACAUAUGUGAACACAUAUUUAACAUUUUAAAAAUCUGUAAAUCCAAUUUAACAAUAUAUAAGUAGGUAACACAUAUUAACCAAGUAGAAUUUCUCAAGGAAGGGAAGAUUGUUAUGGUAUCUGAAAUAUUAAUCAAUGUCAUCUACUAAGAAACUCAAUGAGAAAACCAUAUGAUCAUCUCAAAAGAUAAAAAAAAACAUUUGGCAAAAUCCAGUAUCUAUUGCUUAUAAAAAUCUUUCAAUAAACUAGGGAAAAAAGAGAAAUAUAUCAACCCAGUAAAGAACAUCUGUGGAUCUAUAGCUAGCAUCAUACUUCAUUGAGAAUAAGUGAAUAACUUCCCUCUAAGAUUAUAAUUCCUCUAAGAUUAUAUAUAAUAAGGUUUUAUAUGAGAUUAUAUAAUGAGAUUACAUAUGAGAUCAUAUAUAAUGAGACUACAUAUAUAUGAUAUAUAGAUUAUGUAUAUGAUUAGAUUAUAUAUGAGGCUAUAUGUAUGAGAUCACAUAUGAUGAUAUUAUAUAUGAACUUGUGUAUAUAUGAUGGAAUUUUAUAUGAUGAGAUUAUGUAUGAUGAAAUUAUACAUGAUGAGAUUAUGUGCAUAUGAUGAGAUUAUGUAUAUAUGAGAUUACAUAUGAGGUCAUGUGCAUAUGAUAUUGUGUGUACGUGAUGAAAUUAUAUAUAAUUAGCUUAAAUAUGAUGAGAUUGUAUGUGAUGAGAUUAUAUAUAUGAUGAGAUAUAUCUUGCAUGUGCAAAAAUACUCAAUACUCCUAUGAGUAUUGCCAAUAGAAAAUAAAUAAGAUAUAGGUGCCCAAGAUCAUCAAACACACUCUUCUUAAAGUGUUAGCUGUUCCCAUGUAAGUAACAUUUCCAGAGGAAAAUGAAUUCUAAGCUUCAAGUAGUUGUAUUAAGAAUACUUUGGAAAACAGUAUUUUUAUGAAUAUAGAGCUUCCUAUUUUCUUCCUGUUCUCUCUUUAAUCAACUGUACCUAAAUUAAAGGAGGUGUUUCACCUUGGAUCAAUGAGACUGAUCCAGUGAUAUUAAUUUCAGGAUACUUUUUGGCCAAUGAAAAUAAAAAUAUAGAUAAAGAUUUUUUUUUUAAUCCUAAGAAUUCUAGGAUCUCAUACUUACUGGAUGAGCAGA
rnacentral:lncRNA from 1 species